AGCUUUGCACAGUGGCAGUAUCAUAGCCAAGGAGGUUUAUCCGAGGCGUGAUUAUUGCUAAUUGGAACAGAAAUGGGCAGAAAUUCUUUUCCACUUUAUUUUGCUCAGGGUAAUUCCUCCUCCCCAAAUAUGUUGAGAACCAUAGUAUAAAGGAAAAGAAAAGAACCUU
rnacentral:snRNA from 1 species